UACGAAGGGUGCAAACGUUGCUCGGAAUUAUUGGGCGUAAAGCGCACGUAGGCGGCUAUCUAAGUCGGAUGUGAAAUCCCUCGGCUUAACCAAGGAAGUGCACCCGAAACUGGAUAGCUUGAGUACAGAAGAGGAUCGCGGAAUUCCCGGUGUAGAGGUGAAAUUCGUAGAUAUCGAGAGGAACACCUGUGGCGAAGGCGGCCUUCUGGACGGUGACUGACGCUGAGACGCGAAAGCGUGGGGAGCAAACAGG
rnacentral:rRNA from 1 species